rnacentral:rRNA from 1 species
GGAUCCAGACUUUGAUUCUGGCUCAGGAUGAACGCUAGCUUACAGGCCUAACACAUGCAAGUCGAGGGGAAACGGCAGCUUAGCUUGCUUAAGCUGGACGUCGACCGGCGCACGGGUGAGUAACGCGUAUCCCAACCUGCCCCACGGUGAGGGAUAACCCGCGGAAACGCGGCCUAAUACCUCAUGGUCUCCGAGUUUGCCAUCAACCUUGGAGUAAAGAUUCAUUGCCGUGGGAUGGGGAUGCGUCUGAUUAGCUUGUUGGCGGGGCAACGGCCCACCAAGGCAACGAUCAGUAGGGGUUCUGAGAGGAAAGCCCCCCACAUUGGAACUGAGACACGGUCCAAACUCCUACGGGAGGCAGCAGUGAGGAAUAUUGGUCAAUGGGCGAGAGCCUGAACCAGCCAAGUAGCGUGCAGGAUGACGGCCCUAUGGGUUGUAAACUGCUUUUAUGCGGGGAUAAAGCGGGCGACGUGUCGCCCUUUGCAGGUACCGCAUGAAUAAGGACCGGCUAAUUCCGUGCCAGCAGCCGCGGUAAUACGGAAGGUCCGGGCGUUAUCCGGAUUUAUUGGGUUUAAAGGGAGCGCAGGCCGGGUAUUAAGCGUGUUGUGAAAUGUAGGCGCCCAACGUCUGCACCGCAGCGCGAACUGGUGCCCUUGAGUACGCACGACGUUUGGCGGAAUUCGCCGUGUAGCGGUGAAAUGCUUAGAUAUGGCGAAGAACUCCGAUUGCGAAGGCAGCUGACGGGAGCGCUACUGACGCUCAUGCUCGAAAGCGCGGGUAUCGAACAGGAUUAGAUACCCUGGUAGUCCGCGCGGUAAACGAUGGAUGCCCCGCUAUUUGCGCAUUUAGCGCAA